CCUACGGGAGGCAGCAGUGAGGAAUAUUGGUCAAUGGACGAGAGUCUGAACCAGCCAAGUAGCGUGAAGGAUGACUGCCCUAUGGGUUGUAAACUUCUUUUAUAUGGGAAUAAAACGUUCCACGUGUGGGAUUUUGUAUGUACCAUAUGAAUAAGGAUCGGCUAACUCCGUGCCAGCAGCCGCGGUAAUACGGAGGAUCCGAGCGUUAUCCGGAUUUAUUGGGUUUAGAGGGAGCGUAGGUGGAUUGUUAAGUCAGUUGUGAAAGUUUGCGGCUCAACCGUAAAAUUGCAGUUGAAACUGGCAGUCUUGAGUACAGUAGAGGUGGGCGGAAUUCGUGGUGUAGCGGUGAAAUGCUUAGAUAUCACGAAGAACGCCGAUUGCGAAGGCAGUUCACUGGACUGCAACUGACACUGAGGCUCGAAAGUGUGGGUAUCAAACAGGAUUAGAUACCCUGGUAGUC
rnacentral:rRNA from 1 species